AUAAAUAAAUUAAUUUAUAUAUAUAUAUAUAUAUACAUUUUUUAUUGUGGAUUAAGGUUUUAAAAAAUGAAAGUCAAAACUGGGAGGCACUUUUCUCUGUGGAAAGAACUCUUUCUGUUCCCCUGCUCAGCAUGGUACCUCACACUGCAGAGCCUUUGUAGAUGUCAUUCCUUUUGCUUGGAACAGCCUCUGCUCCCUCUCAUUUCCACCCUUUAUCGGGUCCCAGUAUUGGAUCUUACCUCAGAUGGCGUUUUCUCCAAGACUAAGUCAAGUUUACUGUUACAGGCUCUCCUUAUACCACAUGACUUUCCUUUACUUCCUGCACAUAUAUGUUUAUGUACAUGAUAACAGCAUGUAAUUAAUGUCUUCCUCUGAGGACUCUCUGAGGACAGCAACCUUGAAUAUCUGCCACUAUUUGUGAUAAUCAGGAAACUCACCACCCUCCCUUUUAUUCAUUCCUUCUCCGAUUUUGUUCCUACCUUCACCAGACCUGAGUCUUUCAUCUUUUUACUUUGAUUUCUCUAGAUAUAGUGUUUGACUUUGGGCUCUGCCUUAGCUCUUAGCUCAUUUUUUUGAGAAAACAGAGCAUGAAAAAAAGCAUAUGUACUCAUGCUUUAUUGGGGGUUAUAAUCCCAGAGCAGGAAGAAAAAGGGAAAAAAGGAAAUGAGCCAGGAAGCAGAGAAGGCAGAUACAAAAAGUGCUGCAUUACUUAGCCAGUCAUACACUCAUAAGAAAACACUGGCAGUUUCUUAGUCACCAGGCUGUCGUGGAAGAAGCUGUGUGGAAUGAUGGUGGCACAGACAAUGGAAGGGUGGAAGGAAGGUAGGAAAGAGAAGUUCAUUGGCCAUCUCCCUCCUGAUUCCUGUGUCUUUCUUACUAGUCAAUGUUCACCUUACCGGGGAUCGGUUCCUCCAUACUUCAAGGUUUUAUUACUUGGCUUCUGUGGAGAGCUGCUAAGGAAAUGGAACCAGCUGAGUCAGACCCUUGUGCUUGAGCUACAUUGGAUCCAACAGCAGCAGGCGAGAAGGAGACCACACUGAAGUCUGAUCCUUACCACCCCCAGCCAAGAUGCUGAGAAAAGAAAGCAAGUAGUUUUCCCUCAAUAUCCAUGGAAGAUUGGUUCCAGACCUCCUGUAGCUGCCGCAAUUCACAGAUGCUCAAGUCCUUCAUAUAGAAUGGUGUAGUAUUUGCCUAUAUCCUAUGCACAUUCUCCUAUAUAUUUUAAAUCAUUUCUAGAUGUCUUAUAAUACCUAAUAAAUGUAAAUACUAUGUUAAUAGUGGUUAUACUAUAUUGUUUAGGGGAUAAUGACAGGGAAAAAAAUGUUCAGUACAGACUCAGCCAUUCACUUUUGGGUGGAGGAAUAUUUUUCAUUGCAGUUGGGUGAAUUCAUGGAUGUGGAAAUCACAAAUACGGGGGGUUAACUGUAUGUGUUUAUAGUUUAUGUUAUAAUAACCUUGUUGUCUACCAUUUCUGAUUCUCUUCAUUUGUACCUUAUUUUUUAAACAACGAGGAUCCACUGAAGAUAUUUGGUGGGGAAAAGGUUUUAAUUUGGGGGGCAUUUAAAUAUGUAAUAUUUGAGGACGAUUUCUCUGGCAGACGUGGGUGGCGAGAGAGAUAGAAAUCGGAACAGUCUGGAAGCAGUUGCUGCAGUUGGUACAAGUUAAUGGAGGCCUGGACUUGGCUAGAUUUUGACUCUUUUGGCUUGUGUUUUGCCUUCUGGAGCUGGUAUUGCCUAAGUCAGUGAAUAGACACUGACUUAGAAUCAGGCAUGGAUAGGUAUACUGAUCAGGAAUUGUUAGUGAACUGAAGUCACUCUAGGGAUGAAUCCAAGUGGGGAAUAAUGCCUUGUCUGUUGAUUUGAGGGUCACAUAAAGAGAGGCUUUCCCACGGCAAGCCUCUGUGGAAAACAUGAAGCCUAGCAAAUAAAGCUCGUCUCAGGACAUGGUGAUGAACAUAAAUUCAAGCAGUUAUGUGUGUAUAGCAAUGGAGGAGGGGGAAUGAGAAGGAGAGAUUCUUCCCCGUACACAUGUCCUUGCAGCUGUUGGGGAUGAGGUUACAGACUAUGGAAGAGAAUGAACAAUUCCCAUUCCCUUUCUCAGGGCUGAUGACCUCUCAGAAAUUAAACAAAUCAAUACUGUGCCCUCAGAGGUAGCAUGUUUGACUGCCCUGAUUCAAUGGGCUCUAUUGUUUCAGGUGAAUCCAGGUGAUUUAAUUCCUCUCUGAUACCCUCUCUAGGAGAUUUUGUCUGUGAAUUUUUCUCUGGAAUAGUUUUGUAAGAUCUCAAUUAGACAUGCCAGUACAUACAGUUAACAACAACAACAGCAACAAAAAACAAAGAACAUCAGUGGAAAGAAAACAUUGGUGCCAUAGAUAGUGUGCAGUGGUUAUUCUAGUCCAAGCAGGAGGUAUCCAGGGCCUGAAUAAAGCAGUAGUGAUGAAGGUUCACCUGCAGAAUGCUCAUAAAGGUAAUUGAGGGUAGCAAAAAACAAUAACAAAAGUUUGAAAGCUUUGAAAUAGUCCAUCAAUCGAAGAAAUCAAAGUGAAAAUUAGAAAAUACUUAGAACUUUUUUAAAA